UACGUAGGGACCAAGCGUUGUUCGGAUUUACUGGGCGUAAAGGGCGCGUAGGCGGCGUGACAAGUCACUUGUGAAAUCUCUGGGCUUAACCCAGAACGGCCAAGUGAAACUGUUGUGCUAGAGUGCAGAAGGGGCAAUCGGAAUUCUCGGUGUAGCGGUGAAAUGCGUAGAUAUCGAGAGGAACACCAGAGGUGAAGACGGGUUGCUGGGCUGACACUGACGCUCAGGCACGAAAGCGUGGGGAGCAAACAGG
rnacentral:rRNA from 1 species